UCUGGUGUCAGCCGCCGCGGUAAAACCAGCACCUCAAGUGGUCAGGAUGAUUAUUGGGCCUAAAGCAUCCGUAGCCUGCUUUGUUAGUUUUCGGUUAAAUCCAUACGCUCAACGUAUGGGCUGCCGGGAAUACUGCAAAGCUAGGGAGUGGGAGAGGUAGACGGUACUCGGUAGGAAGGGGUAAAAUCCUUUGAUCUAUUGAUGACCACCUGUGGCGAAGGCGGUCUACCAGAACACGUCCGACGGUGAGGGAUGAAAGCUGGGGGAGCAAACCGGAUUAGAUACCCGGGUAGUCCCAGCUGUAAACUAUGCAAACUCGGUGAUGCAUUGGCUUGAUGCCAAUGCAGUGCCGCAGGGAAGCCGUUAAGUUUGCCGCCUGGGAAGUACGUACGCAAGUAUGAAACUUAAAGGAAUUGGCGGGGGAGCACCACAAGGGGUGAAGCCUGCGGUUCAAUUGGAGUCAACGCCAGAAAUCUUACCCGGAGAAACAGCAGAAUGAAGGUCAAGCUGAAGACUUUACCAGACAAGCU
rnacentral:rRNA from 2 species